rnacentral:lncRNA from 1 species
GUCUCUUUCUUCCAACAAAGUGGGUCUCCAGAGAGGUGAGAUGACUUGCCUGAGGGUGAUCAGUGAGCUCAAAGAAGAGCACAGGUGAGGACCCUCCCACGCCUGGCGCAGCACUUACAGUUUACAGAGCACCUCCCUUCCUGGAGCAGAUGCUUCCACCGCGGGCAGCCAGCACCCGUGUCUCUCAGAGGCUGGCGCCGGGCCUGCGUUUACAGGGAGCUGGAAGUGCAUGACCUCCUGAGGGGAACUCACGUCCUCCAGUCACUGGCACAGCUGCAGGAUCCAUCCAAAGCGGGGCUUUGAGAUGACACACCCUUGCUUGGCUUCUGUCCCUUCCAUGUCCUGGUCUCCCAUCCUCUACCAGCCCUCCUGGGGAUGCUUCACAGGCUCACCUGGGCAGGAGCUGGGCUUUUAUAUGAGCUCGCCUCACCCCAGGACUCACCAUGCCUAGGAGAGGAGUGACGCCCCCUCUGUGUCCGAACCUCCACUGCUGUACAUGCUACCCCAGACCAUGCUCCAUGAAGGCCAAUGGCACCUCUGUUUGCUCACUGCCGGAUUCUGAGACUGUUAGAGGAAUGAAUGAAUGAACAAAUAAACAAACGAAUGCACACGGUCUGGU